rnacentral:misc_RNA from 1 species
AACUGGAGGGAAAGACUGGAGCUCAGUUUCAGACAUAAUAAUUAGGGCUGUGAAGAAAAUGUCAGUUCCUGUAACAGUUCUACAUGUGACACCCAUGGGGGCAUUCCGGAGUGAUGCACAUGUUGGUACCUGGAGUGACAAUCCAUCUGUGCCUGAUUGCAGUCACUGGUGUCUACCCGGAGUACCUGAUAUGUGGAAUGAAAUUCUCUUGUCAUAUCUGAUGUCCAAGAAUGAGCGAUCUGUUCCUUAAGAAUGAAGUUGCAGGAUUUCCCCUUAUCUUCCACCCUCAAGUCCAACCUGUUUGAAUUCUUCAAGCUUUUAUUCACCUAAUUUCGGUUCAUACAAGAUUUACAGGACAGAAAAGCUCAACUGCAAUUUGGAUCAGAUAAUACUUCUUACAUCUAUUCUUUUGCGGCCA